UACGUAGGGUGCAAGCGUUAAUCGGAAUUACUGGGCGUAAAGCGUGCACAGGCGGCUUUGCAAGACAGAUGUGAAAUCCCCGGGCUCAACCUGGGAACUGCAUUUGUGACUGCAUGGCUGGAGUGCGGCAGAGGGGGAUGGAAUUCCGCGUGUAGCAGUGAAAUGCGUAGAUAUGCGGAGGAACACCGAUGGCGAAGGCAAUCCCCUGGGCCUGCACUGACGCUCAUGCACGAAAGCGUGGGGAGCAAACAGG
rnacentral:rRNA from 1 species